GAUUUACGGUACUUUAACAGAUAGUUACAUAUUUUGAUAAAAGGAGUGAAGUUCAUUAUUUACAUUUUCUAAAAUAAAGUAUACCUCAGUAACAUUAAUGUUUGGAUUAUAAUGUUAUAUAAAUACUUUUAUUAUAUAAAAUAUAAUUUUUUCAACAAAUUAUCGAUCAAAUAUAUAUUUAUCUUUUAUUAGUAAAUUUUUAUGACGUCACUUACAAUAUCGUGUAGAAAAAUUAUAUAGUGACAUGUGAAAAAAUGAAUGUGUGAUCUCGAUUUUAUUUUUAUUGAGAAAAUAUGAUCUCUGGAAUUUUUAUUUUUGUAAUUCGUUGACGAUUGUAUACAGUAUGUGUUUUCUCUCAGAAUCGAUUUUGUCGUACGAACGUGAUAAUUUUUUGAUUCUUUCUCCUGUUGUUCUAGUGCAUUAAUCUUGUUUAUUAAUUAUUAGAUUUAACCAUGAUACGAGGUAAAACAAUGUUUAAAACAGUAAAAAACAAUGGGAAUUGAUACUACAGAAUUAUAUCGAAAAUUGCGAAUGAGGUUAGGAUUGAAACUAUAUCCUAUACAUCGGUUUCACAGACUUGUACUCCUUCAAGUUACUUUAAGAAUGAAAUGAAGUCUAUUCAAAUAAGAUAAAUUUGAAUGAAAGAGAUAUUAAUAUAACUGUAGAUUUGGAUAUAUUCAAAUCCGCUGUUCGAUGAGUUUACAAGUUGCAGCAAGAAAGAAAAUAAACAUCGUGGAAGAUGUUCAGAACAAUUUUUUACAUCAAACAGAUCAUCUGACAGAUGUCGUCAAUCAGCUAUUAAAAUAUUAUGGCCAGGCCGUAAGAAGCAGUGAACAUAAUCUAGAUAAUAUAUAGGACAACAUUUUUCCAUGAAAUUUUAAUACGGUCACAACUUUUGUUCAAACGAUUGAUUUAAAUGUAAAACUGCUGAAGCAGCUGAAAUUCUGUAUUGGUUAACUUGUAAAAGCUAUGCGUUAAUCUGUUAUAUCAGUUAUGAAGAUAAUUACCAGAAACUACUAUCGAAGAAUUAUAUAGGAAACAUUAAAUGUAAAUAAAUCAUUCUAUUGUAUUCUAUUGAUAAGAAUAUCAAAAAAUGUAUUUGUCUGUAUCUCAUAUCACAUCUUGGUAUAUAUGAUACUGUCAUCACAAUUAAUGAUAGUAAUGCUGGCAAAUAGAAAGUGGCUCAGAAUAGCUGGGAAUGGAAUACGACAGUCGUAGCUGAGGAUAUGAAAUGAUUUUUGAGACAAAGUUACAAGCUUGAAAAAUUUCUAAGAAAAUGUUAUCUUUGAUAAGCUUGGACGAUUUGGAAGGAGAUAAAUUUUACAAUAGCGGAGGAUUUUGGUUGCUUUUUCUACUGAAAAACUAAUAAUACGUUUUCUCUCGAAUUAUUUAAGAUUUGCUCUUGAUUUUUCUACAGUUCAUUUAUAAUAUUCUUUUGAUACCGAAUAUUUAAGUUUAUAAUAAUUUUCAAAAGAAUAAAAAGAAGAUAAUUAUAAGUUAGAAUAAUUAGAUAGAACAAAAAUUUCAUUUUGAUCCCGAACAUAUGUAGUCCAGUGAAACUAGAGAAGUAAGUUCACGAAGCAUAUAAAUGACUUAGUAAAGUUUCAUUACUUAUUGAGCAGAUGGAUCAUGAAGUUGGUAAAUGUAACAUUAGUGGGAUUGAUUAUUCAUAUUGUUGUUAACACUUGCUAUUUCUUGUUAUUGUUUUUUGCACGUUUGCAUCUCGGAAAAAUAUAUGCAGGAUUUAAUUAUCGUAGGCUGUAAUUGUCAAACUUUAUUAGUAUAUUUUAUUAGUCGAAAUAGGAAAAAGAAAAUGUUAUAUAAACAUGAAUUGUUUCUUUUUAAGUAUUAUUAAAAUGUUAUUACAAUAUAUGAGAAGAACAAUAUCGGAUACUUCAUAAAAAUCAGGAAAUUGCUGACUAUUCUAUUAAUUGUAAAUAACACUCUAAGAAGUUACUAAAAAAUUCUUAAUGUUGUCGAAUGGCAAUAAUGUUUUAACAUUAAUACUAAAAUGCGGACGAACAGGAAAAGUCUGUUGCAACAAAUUAGUUGAAAUUGAACAUUUUGACCGAAAUUACGCCAACUAAUUUAGUGUUAAAAAUUAUGGUUUAAUAGAAUUCUUUCAAAGUCAUAUUUCUCAUGUAGUAACACAAUUAUGAGCAUUGUUUAUCAGUCGGGAGACUCAAAUCAAUACCUCUUAUAAUUUUCAAAAGUCUAUAGUUAAAUAUUGCAAAAUGCAACUGUUUAAGUUUGUACGGAUGUAAAAAAAAUAUGAUUCUUGAUAUUAUACUUAUAAUUAUUUUU